rnacentral:rRNA from 1 species
UUUGAUCAUGGCUCAGAUUGAACGCUGGCGGCAGGCCUAACACAUGCAAGUCGAACGGUAACAGGAAGCAGCUUGCUGCUUUGCUGACGAGUGGCGGACGGGUGAGUAAUGUCUGGGAAACUGCCUGAUGGAGGGGGAUAACUACUGGAAACGGUAGCUAAUACCGCAUAACGUCGCAAGACCAAAGAGGGGGACCUUCGGGCCUCUUGCCAUCGGAUGUGCCCAGAUGGGAUUAGCUAGUAGGUGGGGUAACGGCUCACCUAGGCGACGAUCCCUAGCUGGUCUGAGAGGAUGACCAGCCACACUGGAACUGAGACACGGUCCAGACUCCUACGGGAGGCAGCAGUGGGGAAUAUUGCACAAUGGGCGCAAGCCUGAUGCAGCCAUGCCGCGUGUAUGAAGAAGGCCUUCGGGUUGUAAAGUACUUUCAGCGGGGAGGAAGGGAGUAAAGUUAAUACCUUUGCUCAUUGACGUUACCCGCAGAAGAAGCACCGGCUAACUCCGUGCCAGCAGCCGCGGUAAUACGGAGGGUGCAAGCGUUAAUCGGAAUUACUGGGCGUAAAGCGCACGCAGGCGGUUUGUUAAGUCAGAUGUGAAAUCCCCGGGCUCAACCUGGGAACUGCAUCUGAUACUGGCAAGCUUGAGUCUCGUAGAGGGGGGUAGAAUUCCAGGUGUAGCGGUGAAAUGCGUAGAGAUCUGGAGGAAUACCGGUGGCGAAGGCGGCCCCCUGGACGAAGACUGACGCUCAGGUGCGAAAGCGUGGGGAGCAAACAGGAUUAGAUACCCUGGUAGUCCACGCCGUAAACGAUGUCGACUUGGAGGUUGUGCCCUUGAGGCGUGGCUUCCGGAGCUAACGCGUUAAGUCGACCGCCUGGGGAGUACGGCCGCAAGGUUAAAACUCAAAUGAAUUGACGGGGGCCCGCACAAGCGGUGGAGCAUGUGGUUUAAUUCGAUGCAACGCGAAGAACCUUACCUGGUCUUGACAUCCACGGAAGUUUUCAGAGAUGAGAAUGUGCCUUCGGGAACCGUGAGACAGGUGCUGCAUGGCUGUCGUCAGCUCGUGUUGUGAAAUGUUGGGUUAAGUCCCGCAACGAGCGCAACCCUUAUCCUUUGUUGCCAGCGGUCCGGCCGGGAACUCAAAGGAGACUGCCAGUGAUAAACUGGGAGGAAGGUGGGGAUGACGUCAAGUCAUCAUGGCCCCUUACGACCAGGGGCUACACACGUGCUACAAUGGCGCAUA